GUGAGAAGUCAGCAGAAGCCGUAGUAGUGAAGAGAACUAACGAAAGUUAGAACGAGCGAAGGGCUGAACAGUUUUAUCGUUAUAAUCAUCUCGAUUGAAAGAGGACACAAGACCACUGGCAUAAAGCGCAAAAGUGGAUACCUACUUUACGAGAAAGAAAGGAUAUAACCAGCAUGUAUGAGAGAAAAUUACUAAAUCAAAUACUAGACGAAGGAAAUCUUAACUUAGCAAUAAAACAGGUGAAGAGGAAUAAAGGCUCCGCAGGUGUCGACGGAAUGUCGGUCGAACAAAUACAGGGUUAUCUAGCGUUAAAUAAAGAUGACCUUUUAAAAAGUAUUCGAAAUAGAACCUACAAACCAGAACCUGUCCUGAGGGUGGAAAUACCAAAGCCUAAUGGCGGUGUGCGAUUACUUGGCAUACCCACAGUUAAAGAUCGAGUGAUCCAACAAGCAAUAGCACAAAUCCUAACUCCACUAUUUGAUAGACAAUUCAGUGACUAUAGCUAUGGCUUUAGACCAAGACGAUAUGCGGAAAUGGCAAUUAUCAAAGGACUAGAGUAUAUGAAUGAUGGUUAUGAGUGGAUUGUCGAUAUUGAUCUUGAACGGUUCUUUGAUACGGUGAACCAUGACCGAUUAAUGAAUCUUGUCGCACGAACAGUGGAGGACGGGGAUGUCAUCUCACUCAUUCGAAAAUUUCUUGUCAGUGGUGUACAGAUUGAUGAGGAAUACAAGGAAACGAUCAUUGGCACCCCGCAAGGAGGAAACCUUUCACCUUUACUAAGUAAUAUCAUGCUUCAUGAACUUGAUAUGGAACUUGAGAAUAGAGGACUUAGGUUUGUGAGAUAUGCAGAUGACUGCAUCAUCUUUGCCAAAAGCCAAAUGGCAGCGAAUCGAAUUAUGCGUUCGAUCACCCGUUUUAUAGAAGAAAAGUUAGGUUUAAUUGUAAAUGCAGACAAAUCAAAAGUAACGAAUCCAAACAAUACGGACUUUAAAUUUCUCGGCUUUGGUUUCUACAAAGAUUACUAUGCAAAGCAAUAUAAAGCGAAACCGCAUCAUAAAUCAGUAGAGCGUUUCAAAUAUAAACUGAAACAAUUAACCAAGAGGAAUUGGAGCAUUGACACAAAGUAUCGUGUCGGACGAAUCAAUCAAGUGAUACGAGGUUGGGUUAACUACUUUAAAAUUGGCUACAUGAAAAAGCUUCUGAUGAACAUUGAUGCCCAUCUGCGUGUUCGAUUGCGUGCAUGUAUAUGGACAAAAUGGAAGACGGCGAAAAACCGUCGAAAGAACCUCAUAAAAUUGGGGUUAAAGCGAAAUAAAGCAUAUGAAUAUAGCCAUUCAAGUAAAGGUGCGACGCGAGUCGCGUACUCGUGGAUAUUAGCGACUACGAUUACUAAUGAAAGACUUGCCCGCUUCGGACUAGUCUCAGGAUUAGAACACUACAAUCAAAUACAUGCUUAAUAUAAAACUGAACCGCCGUAUACGGAUCCGUACAUACGGUGGUGUGAGGGGACGGAUAAUCAAAUAAUGAUUAUCCUCCUACUCGAUUUUCUAUUUAUAU
rnacentral:autocatalytically_spliced_intron from 1 species